rnacentral:rRNA from 1 species
ACGACUCUCGGCAACGGAUAUCCCGGCUCUCGCAUCGAUGAAGAACGUAGCGAAAUGCGAUACCUGGUGUGAAUUGCAGAAUCCCGCGAACCAUCGAGUCUUUGAACGCAAGUUGCGCCCGAGGCCACUCGGCCGAGGGCACGCCUGCCUGGGCGUCACGC